CCUGCGGAAGGAUCAUUACCGAGUUUUCGGGCUUCGGCUCGACUCUCCCACCCUUUGUGAACGUACCUCUGUUGCUUUGGCGGCUCCGGCCGCCAAAGGACCUCCAAACUCCAGUCAGUAAACGCAGACGUCUGAUAAACAAGUUAAUAAACUAAAACUUUCAACAACGGAUCUCUUGGUUCUGGCAUCGAUGAAGAACGCAGCGAAAUGCGAUAAGUAAUGUGAAUUGCAGAAUUCAGUGAAUCAUCGAAUCUUUGAACGCACAUUGCGCCCCUUGGUAUUCCGGGGGGCAUGCCUGUUCGAGCGUCAUUACAACCCUCAAGCUCUGCUUGGAAUUGGGCACCGUCCUCACUGCGGACGCGCCUCAAAGACCUCGGCGGUGGCUGUUCAGCCCUCAAGCGUAGUAGAAUACACCUCGCUUUGGAGUGGUUGGCGUCGCCCGCCGGACGAACCUUCUGAACUUUUCUCAAGGUUGACCUCGGAUCAGGUAGGGAUACCCGCUGAACUUAAGCAUAUCA
rnacentral:rRNA from 1 species